rnacentral:rRNA from 1 species
UACCGGCGCCUCAAGUGGUAGUCGAUUUUAUUGGGCCUAAAGCAUCCGUAGCCUGUUCUGUAAGUUUUCGGUUAAAUCCAUAAGCUCAACUUAUGGGCUGCCGAAAAUACUGCAGAACUAGGGAGUGGGAGAGGUAGACGGUACUCGGUAGGAAGGGGUAAAAUCCUUUGAUCUAUUGAUGACCACCUGUGGCGAAGGCGGUCUACCAGAACACGUUCGACGGUGAGGGAUGAAAGCUGGGGGAGCAAACCGG